rnacentral:lncRNA from 1 species
UUAUAACACCCCACAUCGAUUUAUCUAGAAUGUCGAUAAGAGUGUACAUAACUGAAUCAGGAAACAUUAAAUUUUCAUCACAUAUUGUCCGAAUACAUAAAUAGGAUUACAAAAUCCAAGAGAUUAAUACUAAAUUGAGCUAACAACUGAAAACAUAAAAAACUAAAUCUUAUACAAAUAUAAGAUAACAUGACGUCAGCUCAACAAGCAUAAUCCAAGUAUCUGAACUCCAUGCUUGCAGACCAUGAUAUCUUGAUCAACCUGUUUAUCUG